UGCAAUCGUACUCUGCAUUGCAUUUUCUGUAUGAUUUAUGAGGGCUUCUUUGUUGUUCGUGUGUAGCGACAAUUUCAAGGUGUUCGAGCCGCCAUUUUCCUGGUUUUGCAGAUUCUGAAGCACAGCGGUGGAAAAUUACGGACGGCUGAACAUAUGUUUAAGAUGGUAAAGGAAUAAUGCACUAUGAAGUAUACAGCCUGCGUUAUAAUUCCAAAUAAAAAAAGUCAAGUGGCCAAAGAGGGAAUGGAAGGAGAACUUCAAGACAUUUGAGAGGUUCAAUUGUCUUAGAAAGCAACUCUCAUAGCCACUCAAAUUGGAUAAAAAAGUGUCGCGGGAGCAGAAAGGAGGUAGGGG